UAAGUAUUCCAAGCAAAGUGAUGACGCCUCAGAGCCAGCCGCAUUCGCCAAAUGUCUGCAGAAGGUAUCGCCGAAAGAAUCUGCUGCAGGAGGAUGCCGUAAAUGAUUAUAAUUACCACGAAGUGAGCUGAGCAACGUCCCAUCCCGAGAAGGAAGCGCGUGAAAUGGUGCCGUAGGACGCUGGAGAAGUAUAGUGAUGUGCAUGUGAUAAUUAUAGUGGUGUUUUUAUCGUGUUUGUUACAAAUACA